AUUAAGGCUAAUAGUGGAUGCCUUGGCAGUUUAAGCCGAAGAAGGACGGUUGUAUACGACCGAUAUCAACGAUUAGCCCGUCAACAGGCAUUCAAUCGUUGGUUUCCUAAUGGGGUAACCUAUUCCGAAGUAAUUCGGAAUGUUCUGGCUUUUAGUCAGGACGGGAACCUGGAGAACUGAAACAUCUCAGUACCCAGAGGAAAAGAAAUCAUAUGAGAUUCUGUAAGUAGCGGCGAGCGAAAGCAGAAGAGCCUAAAUCCCGAUUUUAUCGGGAGGUUGUGGGACCACAGAAACUAAGGUUUUUUCUAGAAAAAUGAUUUGGAAAAAUCAACCAAAGAAGGUGAAAGUCCUGUAUUCGAAAGAAAAAAUCUUACUGGUGGGUUUCCCAAGUACCACGAGGCACGGCAAACCUUGUGGGAAUCUGGGUCGGUCACGAUCCAAGGCUAAAUACUUAAACUGACCGAUAGCGAACUAGUACCGCGAGGGAAAGGUGAAAAGCACCCCGAUAAGGGGAGUGAAAUAGAUACUGAAACUAUUAGCUAACAAACAGACAGAGUCCCGAUAUUUAUCGGGAUGAUGUCGUGCCUAUUGAAGAAUGAGUCAGCGAGUUCUGUCCAGCAGGCAUUUUGUUUAAGUCUUUUUUUAAGACGUAGGCAGAGGGAAACCGAGUCCUAAUAGGGCGAUUUUGUCUCUGGGCAGAGACCCGAAACCGGGUGAGCUAACCAUGAGCAGGAUGAACUUCGAUGAAAAUCGAAGGAAGGUCCGAACCCGUUGUCGGUGAAAUGGCAUGGGAGGACUUGUGGUUAGAGGUAAUAUGCCUAUCGAACCCGGAGAUAGCUGGUUCUCCUCGAAAUAUAUUUAGGUAUAGCCCUCUGUUAAAAUUUUGCGGGGUAGAGCUACUAGAUGGUUUACCAAGCAUAAGCAAGGCAAAUCAACUAAACUCCGAAUACGCAAAUUUUUUUCCAGAGGAGUCAGUCGAGCCGGGAUAAGCUGGUUUCGGCGAAAGGGAAACAUCCCAGACUCCCAUCUAAGGUUCCUAAAUGACUAUUAAGUGUGAAGGUCGUUAAAUUUCCAAUACAGCUGGGAGGUUGGCUCAGAAGCAGCCAUCCUUUAAAGAGUGCGUAACAGCUCACCAGAAUAUUUCUGAUUUAUCGGAAUGGAAAUUUAGCGCCGAAGAUGAUCGGACCUAAAUAGUUUACCGAAGAUGGAGUUCCGACUUUUAGUCGGAAGGUAGAGGAGCGUUCUAAUUGCUGUGAAGUUCUGAUGUAAAUCAGGAUGGAGCGAUUAGAAGUGAGAAUGCUGACAUAAGUAGUGUUUUCUGCCGAUGAAAACUCGGCAUGCCGAAUGUCCAAGGUUUCCUCAGCAAUGUCUAUCAACUGAGGGUUAGGCGGAACUAACCUGCCUUUCAAUUGGAGUGGCGGGGAUGUACAAACCGUUAAUAUUCGGUUUCUUAAUAUAAAACGCUAUUACUUAAUUAGUGACGAAGCUUGAUAUUUCACUCCUUCUAUAUGGGGGAUUAAGUAACAAGUCCUAUUAUUUGAUAGGGCGAGUUAUAAAUACAAUUCUGUUGUAAAACAGAAAAGGUGAAAGAUUUAAGUUUCCGGGAAAAACUAAUUGAGGAGUUUUAUAUUAAACCGUACCGACAACCGACACAGGUGGACUGGUGGAGAACACCAAGGCAUACGGGUAAUAACGGUUCAAGGAACUCGGCAAAAAAGCUGAGCGUAAGCUAGGCAAGAUGCUCUUCCGCCUCUCAACCUCUUUGAGGUAAUGAGGGCGGGCACAGCGAAAGUUUGUCAACCGACUGUUUAGCAAAAACACAGGUUCCUGCUAACCCCAAUAGGGGAUGUAUAGGAGCUGAAACCUGUCCAGUACUGGUAAGUCAAACAUUAGGGUUAAUCCUGACGUUGUUAGAUGAGGCUCUGAUGUAAGCUCCAGUGAACGACAGCUCUAACCCUGAGAGUUCUAAGGUAGCGUAACCCCUUGCCGGGUAAGUUCCGGCCCGCAUGAAAGGUCUAACGAGUUGACAACUGUCUUGAACCGUUGCCCGACGAAAUUGAAAUGGCUGUGAAGAUGCGGCCUACUUGCACAUGGACAAAAAGACCCCGGGAGCUUUACUGAAGUUAGGUAUUGGUGAGGGAAAAUUAAUUGUUGAGUGUAGGAGGGAUUUCGACUCUGUCGGAAGUCAAUGAAACACCUCUCUUUAAUUUUUCUUCACCUCAUUUUGCCUUAGGCGAAAAACAGUGCUUGACGGUCAGUUUAACUGGGGCGGUUUCCUCCAAAAAGGUAACGGAGGAGCACAAAGGUUAGCUUAGUCCGGAUGGAAAUCGGACUGUAAGUGUAUACGCAUAAGCUAGCUUAACUGUGAGAGUGACAACUCGAGCAGAUGCAAAAGCAGGUGUAAGUGAUCCUCGCCACCGCUGUGAUUUGCGGGGCGGGCUUAACGGAUAAAAGCUACCCCGGGGAUAACAGGCUAGUCGUUUCCAAGAGUUCAUAUCGACGAAACGGUUCGGCACCUCGAUGUCGGCUCACCGUAUCCUGGGGCUGAAGUCGGUCCCAAGGGUCGGGCUGUUCGUCCGUUAAAACGGUACGCGAGCUGGGUUCAGAACGUCGUGAGACAGUUCGGACUCUAUCCUGUGCAAGCGCUUGGACUUUUGAGAGGGGACUCCUACAGUACGAGAGGACCUAGGAGUGAGAAUCCCUGGUAUACCGGUUGGUCCAAAAGGCCAUCGCCGGGUAGCUAUAUUCUUAUGUGAUAAGCACUGAAAGCAUCUCAAGUGCGAAGCACACCUCAAGAUUAAAAGUCCAUAGGAGUUUAUCCCGAGAGCUUCCCAGUAGAUUACUGGGUUGAUAGGCUUUAGGUGUAAGUUCCGUAAGGAAUUUAGCCGAGAAGUACUAAUAAGCGACUCUCUCAUCA
rnacentral:rRNA from 1 species